CAAAACGCAAGGAACAGGAACAGUAGGCAAAUCUGGGUAUUUGGCUCUAUGGGGCCAGUAGAGAGCUGCGGGGUGGUGCAACGCAGCCGAAGGAUUGCUGAAGCUCGCCUGGGAGCGGAUCGCUUGAACCGUUGCCGUGCAGUAGGAUGCCCGACCGAAGCGUCGGAGCCUGUAUGCAAGCGCAGCAACGGAUUAGAGCGGUACGGAUGGCCCCGUUACGGUCGCACAGCUUGUUGCUGCAAUUCGUAUUGCGCUCAGCGGCUGUGGUUAAGGGGGCGCUUCUUUGCAGGGGCGCCAACGAGAGUGGUACCGCGCGGGCAACAGCCUGUCGUCUCUUGA
rnacentral:ncRNA from 1 species